UGCCACACCUGCAACACCAUAGGCAGAUAUUACCAAUGUCUACUGAAUCCAAUUAUGGCAAACUGAAAAAACACAAUGAUGAAAUUUAGGGCCCAAUAAAUACCAGCCUAAGAAGAAGCAAAGAAUCCAGCAGCAGAAUGCAUUUAUCAACACAGCCAUUGCAACCACAAGCUGGGUUAAGGAACUAAAAAUGAAGAGUCCUUAUGUAAGAGAAAGAAACUUUUGAGCACUCAGAUCUGCUCCCAUCAGCAAGGGGCCAACUCAAAUUUCUAUCCCGCAAAUCCAUGAAUCACUUUGAAGAGCAUUUUCUGCUCUCUCACAUGCCAGGUCACCAAUCUGUUCCUAGAAGCCUUUCCUCAGGGCUCAGUCUUGCUUACCUCCUCCUCUUACUUUUUGUUUUUUUCUUUUUCCUCUU